UACGUAGGGGGCAAGCGUUGUCCGGAUUUAUUGGGCGUAAAGAGCGUGUAGGCGGCUUUACAGGUCCGUUGUGAAAACUCGAGGCUCAACCUCGAGACGCCGGUGGAAACCGUAAGGCUAGAGUCCGGAAGAGGAGAGUGGAAUUCCUGGUGUAGCGGUGAAAUGCGCAGAUAUCAGGAGGAACACCCGUGGCGAAAGCGGCUCUCUGGGACGGUACUGACGCUGAGACGCGAAAAGCGUGGGGGAGCAAACAGG
rnacentral:rRNA from 1 species